rnacentral:rRNA from 1 species
UCGAGAAUUUUUCACAAUGGGGGAAACCCUGAUGGAGCGACGCCGCGUGGGGGAUGAAUGGCUUCGGCCCGUAAACCCCUGUCAUUUGCGAACAAACCUCUCCACCUAACACGUGGAGAGCUGAUUGUAGCGAAAGAGGAAGGGACGGCUAACUCUGUGCCAGCAGCCGCGGUAAUACAGAGGUCCCAAGCGUUGUUCGGAUUCACUGGGCGUAAAGGGUGCGUAGGUGGUCGGGUAAGUCUGAUGUGAAAUCUCCGAGCUCAACUCGGAAAUGGCAUUGGAUACUAUCCGGCUAGAGGGUCGGAGGGGGGACUGGAAUUCUCGGUGUAGCAGUGAAAUGCGUAGAUAUCGAGAGGAACACCAGUGGCGAAGGCGAGUCCCUGGACGACUCCUGACACUGAGGCACGAAAGCUAGGGGAGCAAACAGGAUUAGAUACCCCCGUAGUCC